rnacentral:misc_RNA from 1 species
GGAAGGAUCAUUGACACAUUAAUCCAAUAUCUACCUUGUGAGAACUUGUGAUUUGUUUUUUCAUUUUAAACGUUUUCAUUUAACCAAUAAUUAGCUGCAAAUGAACAAUUCUCGGAUUGUUCAUUUGCACUUUACAUAACCAAAAACAACUGCUAGCAACGGAUGUCUUGGUUCUCGCAACGAUGAAGAACGCAGCGAAAUGCGAUAAUUAAUGUGAAUCGUAGAAUUCAGUGAAUCAUCAAAUCUUUGAACGCAAAUGGCACUCCAGGGUACUCCCUGGAGUAUGCCUGUUUGAGAAUCAUCACCCCAUCUCACCUUCAUUCUUUUGAAGGUGGUGAAUGAGCGUCAUCUGAGGGUCUACUCACGGAUGUCGCCUAAAGUGCAUGGCGCGAUUUAACAAGUCGUCCUCACACUCGGAAAGAUAAGGAAUAACUUUCUUCAUUCUUCUAGAGUGUUCAGGGUACUUUAGCGUCCAUUUGGGUUCAACCCACCAUUCACACUGUGAUCUCAAAUCAGGCAAGGCUACCCGCUGAAUUUAAGCAUAUAACUAAGCGGAGGAAAAGAAACUAACUAGGAUUCCCCCAGUAACGGCGAGUGAAGCGGGAAAAGCUCAACAUUAAAAUCGGAGAGGUCUCCUCUUCGAAUUGUAGUUUAGAGAGGCGUAUCGGGGGCGUGGGCAGGUCUAAGUGCCUUGGAACAGGACGCCAUAGAGGGUGACAGCCCCGUCUUUGGCUUGCUUACACCGUCUCCAUACGAUGCGCUUUCGAAGAGUCGAGUUGUUUGGGAAUGCAGCUCCAAAAGGGUGGUAAAUUUCAUCUAAAGCUAAAUAACGGCGAGAGACCGAUAGCGAACAAGUACCGUGAGGGAAAGAUGAAAAGAACUUUGAAAAGAGAGUUAAAAGGGCCUGAAAUUGUUAGCAGGGAAACGAUUGAAACUUGGGAUAUGCGCAGGAAAUGGGUUUGGAUUCGUUGGGCACCUUUCUACAUACGAUCGCAAGACGGCAUGUGGGGAGUAUGUACCAUUGAUCUUUGCCUCUCUUUCCUGCGUGUUUGCCAACAUCAGUUUAUGCUUCAGGUUAGUGCCUGCGGGAAGGUAGGUGGGCUCUCGGGCUCACUGUUUAUAGACCGUGGGAGGAACUGUUGUGUAGACUGAGGUACUUUUCAGUGUGCGCUUAGCGGUGGGUCUGGCUCCUGAGUAUUGCAUAUUUUCGGGACAGUCUGACUGUGUCGAAUUUUGCUUUGCUUACCGAGUCAGUCGCGUCAUCUGCACGCUCAAGAUGUUGGCUUAACGGUUUUAAUUGACCCGUCUUGAAACACGGACCAAGGAGUCUAGCACAUAUGCGAGUAUUUGGGUGCCAAACCCAAGUGCGGAAUUAACGUGAAGGCACUUUUUGGAGUGCUUAGGUGUGAGCCAUGGCUCUGCUGUGGUGCAGCAUCGACCGAUCUGGAGGUUUUCUGAAAGAUUUGAGUAAGAGCAUAUUUGCUGGGACCCGAAAGAUGGUGAACUAUGCCUGAAUAGGAUGAAGCCAGAGGAAACUCUGGUGGAGGUCCGUAAGGGUUCUGACGUGCAAAUCGAUUUUUAAAUUUGGGUAUAGGGGCGAAAGACUAAUCGAACCAUCUAGUAGCUGGUUCCCUC